CCUGUUAAUUGUAGUGAUCGGAGCUCAAAUAUGUUCAAGCUGUUCUUUGCCGUGUGGCUCGCCUUGCUGAUCAACUGUGGUCAUUCCGUGUACAUCGGACGCCUCCCACCUGGAUAUUCCUGUGCUUCGAUAGAGUUUGUUUUCACAGAUGAGUGUAAUAAUAAGUGUUUUUGCGACCAUAACGAUGUCGUGCUAUGCGAUGGAGAACCGUGCUACGAAAGUUUUUAUCAAUAAAAAACGUUGUUAGUUUUUUCGGGAAAUAAAUAAAGUAGGAUAAAUCAGCAUUA